GCCGGGCGUGGUGGCACAUGCCUGUAAUUCCAGCUACUCGGGAGGCUGAGGCAGGUGAAUCACUUGAACCUGGGAGGCGGAGGUUGCAGUGAGCUAAGAUCAUGCCACUGCACUCCGGCCUGGGUGACAGAGUGAGACCCUGUCUCAA
rnacentral:SRP_RNA from 1 species